rnacentral:rRNA from 1 species
GUUUCAGCAGCCGCGGUAAUACCGGCGGCUCGAGUGGUGGCCACUAUUACUGGGCUUAAAGCGUUCGUAGCUGGUUUGUUAAGUCUCUGGGGAAAUCUUCCGGCUUAACCGGAAGGCGUCUCAGGGAUACUGGCAGACUAGGGACCGGAAGAGGUGAGAGGUACUCCAGGGGUAGGAGUGAAAUCCUGUAAUCCUUGGGGGACCACCUGUGGCGAAGGCGUCUCACCAGAACGGCUCCGACAGUGAGGGACGAAAGCUGGGGGAGCAAACCGGAUUAGAAACCCUCGUAGUCC